UACGAAGGGGGCUAGCGUUGCUCGGAAUCACUGGGCGUAAAGGGUGCGUAGGCGGGUCUUUAAGUCAGGGGUGAAGUCCUGGAGCUCAACUCCAGAACUGCCUUUGAUACUGAGGAUCUUGAGUUCGGGAGAGGUGAGUGGAACUGCGAGUGUAGAGGUGAAAUUCGUAGAUAUUGGGAAGAACACCGGUGGCGAAGGCGGCUCUCUGGACCGUAACUGACGCUGAGGCGCGAAAGCGUGGGGAGCAAACAGG
rnacentral:rRNA from 1 species